rnacentral:rRNA from 1 species
GAUGAACGCUAGCUACAGGCUUAACACAUGCAAGUCGAGGAGCAGCAGGGAGAAAGCUUGCUUUCUUUGCUGGCGACCGGCGCACGGGUGAGUAACGCGUAUCCAACCUUCCCCUUAGUAGAGGAUAGCCCUUCCAAUUUCGGAUUAAUACUCUAUGUUCUUCACAUGAGGCAUCGAACGUGAAGCAAAGGCUUGCCGCAAGGGAGGGGGAAGCGUCUGAUUACGCUUAGUCGGUGGGGUAACGGCGCACCCGCGCCAUCGAUGUCUAGGGGUCCUGAGAGGAAGGUCCCCCACACUGGGAACUGGGACGCGGUCCCUACUCCUACGGGAGGCAGCAGUGAGGAUUAUUGGAACAUUGGCCGGAAGGCUGAUCCAGCCAUUGCCGCGUGCGGGAAGACGGCCCUAUGGGGUUGUAACCCGUUUUUGUUGGGGAGCAUUAAGAUCACGUGGGGAUGCGUUGAGAUUCCCCAGCGAUUAGUCUUCGGCUAACUCCCUGGCCCGCAGCCGCGGUAAUACGGGAGGAUGGCAGCGAUUUCGGGAUUUAUUGGGGUUUAAAGGGUGGCGAAGCCGGAUGCUUAAGCGUGAAUGUAGAUAGUGCCCCGGGCAUCUCACACCGCGUGAGCAUACUCGCCUCUCUGUGACGAAUCGU